rnacentral:tRNA from 1 species
GACCUGCUAAAACGCCUGGGAGUUGUCCGGCCUCCGGAGCCGUGUGCGCAGGUUCGAAUCCUGCCGGGGGCA